rnacentral:rRNA from 1 species
AUUGAACGCUGGCGGCAGGCCUAACACAUGCAAGUCGAACGGUAGCACAGAGAGCUUGCUCUCGGGUGACGAGUGGCGGACGGGUGAGUAACGUCUGGGAAACUGCCCGAUGGAGGGGGAUAACUACUGGAAACGGUAGCUAAUACCGCAUAACGUCGCAAGACCAAAGUGGGGGACCUUCGGGCCUCACACCAUCGGAUGUGCCCAGAUGGGAUUAGCUAGUAGGUGGGGUAAUGGCUGACCUAGGCGACGAUCCCUAGCUGGUCUGAGAGGAUGACCAGCCACACUGGAACUGAGACACGAUCCAGACUCCUACGGGAGGCAGCAGUGGGGAAUAUUGCACAAUGGGCGCAAGCCUGAUGCAGCCAUGCCUCGUGUAUGAAGAAGGCCUUCGGGUUGUAAAGUACUUUCAGCGGGGAGGAAGGCGGUGAAGUUAAUAACUUCACCGAUUGACGUUACCCGCAGAAGAAGCACCGGCUAACUCCGUGCCAGCCGCCGCCGUAA